ACCUAAUUUAUUAAAUUAACACUAAAGGAAAACUGUAACUGUGUUACUCACUGCUCACCAACUCCCAGUCAAUCAAUUACAAUUAAAAGCCCACAAUUUGUCGUUUGAUUGACGAUCUAAUUGAAUGCGGGAAAAUCAGCAGUCGUGAUAUGUGGCCUGAACAGCUGUAUAGUUCCAGCACAAUAAAUAACAAUAAUAACUACUUGGCUUAUAACGAGCAUAGCACGCCCACACAUGGCUGCAUUAAAAUGCCAUCUCUUGAGAUUAAUGCGAAAAGGUCAUGCGAACAUUUAACGAGGGCCACUCACUGUGGAUUGGACAUUGACCUUGGCUUUUUAUAUACCCUGCGCGUGCAAAAUGGCGUCGAUUGGGUAUAAGUAUAGCUAAGCGUUAACAGAAGGUACCCCAGAAUCCAGGACUGCAUAUUUGGAUAAAGCAGUAUUCGUAGUUGGGACAUUUGAGAAAAUAUAUUAUGAUUACUUUUCUGUUAAAAGUAUGUUUGGUAUGACAAUUGGCAUCGACAUCUGAUGAUAGAGACAGGUAUUUAAUCUUCGACACUCUAAAGGAAACGUUUCCUUCUCGCUUGUGUGUCUGAAAUGUUGUUGGUCGAGUCUUCACACGUGACAUUAUCACAAUGGUAAACAAAAAUGCCGUGUCGACAGAGGGGUAAAAGCGGGAAAGUAACGUGAAAUUAUGUUGACUUAUAACGAAACAAGAGGUAAAUAUAACUGGCACCUGGCACCUGGCACCUGGCAGCUGGCAGCUGGCACCAGGCUGGCUGUUCGCCUUUUGUUUGCAAGCAAAUUUAUACACACCACAAAAGUUGGCAUUGCACAUGGGAGACACAUUGCGAAUUUCCAUGGGAAUUUUCGUUUGAGUUGAUGCAACUUUUCCAAGAGUUGAUAAAAAAAGGGGUGUGACCCAACAAAAAAGCCAGCUCCACUAUUUAGUGUUUGCCAUGAGCACAUAAAGGAGGCCCAUGAUGAUGAUGACGAUGAUGAUUAUGACUAAAACUGCGUUUGUGGAAAUGAGCAGAAAAAACAAAGACAACAAAAAUCAAAACAGAAAUGUUAUAUUCCGCAUGUUGACGAUGAAAUCCCCUAACAAAUUAAGUGUUAUCUGUGGUAGUAGUAGUACAUAUUCUUAUAAAAAAAAUAUAUAAAUGCACACUUAACCUAGACUAAACUAAACAACUUGAACAUAAACUACAAAAUAUACAAUCUGCAUCCUGUACAU